CGCCAGACUCCUACGGGAGGCAGCAGUGGGGAAUAUUGGGCAAUGGGCGCAAGCCUGACCCAGCAACGCCGCGUGAAGGAAGAAGGCUUUCGGGUUGUAAACUUCUUUUAUGAGGGACGAAAGAAAUGACGGUACCUCAUGAAUAAGCCACGGCUAACUACGUGCCAGCAGCCGCGGUAAUACGUAGGUGGCAAGCGUUAUCCGGAUUUACUGGGUGUAAAGGGCGUGCAGCCGGGAAGACAAGUCAGAUGUGAAAUCCCGCGGCUCAACCGCGGAACUGCAUUUGAAACUGUUUUUCUUGAGUACCGGAGAGGUCAUCGGAAUUCCUUGUGUAGCGGUGAAAUGCGUAGAUAUAAGGAAGAACACCAGUGGCGAAGGCGGAUGACUGGACGGCAACUGACGGUGAGGCGCGAAAGCGUGGGGAGCAAACAGGAUUAGAUACCCGUGUAAG
rnacentral:rRNA from 1 species